GACAGAGGGGGCAAGCGUUGCUCGGAAUUACUGGGCGUAAAGGGCGCGUAGGCGGGAUGGCAAGUCGGUCGUGAAAUCCCUCGGCUCAACCGAGGAACGUCGAUCGAUACUGCUGUUCUUGAGGAUUGCAGAGGAGACUGGAAUUCCCGGUGUAGCGGUGAAAUGUGUAGAGAUCGGGAGGAACACCGGUGGCGAAGGCGGGUCUCUGGGCAAUAACUGGACGCUGAGGAGCGAAAGCGUGGGGAGCGAACAGG
rnacentral:rRNA from 1 species